AACGAACGCUGGCGGCAUGCCUAACACAUGCAAGUCGAACGAGACCUUCGGGUCUAGUGGCGCACGGGUGCGUAACGCGUGGGAACCUGCACUUAGGUUCGGCAUACCUCCCCGAAAGGGGUGCUAAUACCGGAUAAUGUCUUCGGCCCAAAGAUUUAUCGCCUUUGGAUGGGCCCGCGUUGGAUUAGCUAGUUGGUAGGGUAAAAGCCUACCAAGGCGACGAUCCAUAGCUGGUCUGAGAGGAUGAUCAGCCACACUGGGACUGAGACACGGCCCAGACUCCUACGGGAGGCAGCAGUGGGGAAUAUUGGACAAUGGGCGAAAGCCUGAUCCAGCAAUGCCGCGUGAGUGAUGAAGGCCUUAGGGUUGUAAAGCUCUUUUAACCGGGAUGAUAAUGACAGUACCGGGAGAAUAAGCUCCGGCUAACUCCGUG
rnacentral:rRNA from 1 species